rnacentral:rRNA from 1 species
AACGAACGCUGGCGGCAUGCCUAACACAUGCAAGUCGAACGAAGCCUUCGGGCUUAGUGGCGCACGGGUGCGUAACGCGUGGGAAUCUGCCCCUUGCUUCGGAAUAACAGUUAGAAAUGACUGCUAAUACCGGAUGAAGUCUUCGGACCAAAGAUUUAUCGGCAAGGGAUGAGCCCGCGUAGGAUUAGGUAGUUGGUGGGGUAAAGGCCUACCAAGCCGACGAUCCUUAGCUGGUCUGAGAGGAUGAUCAGCCACACUGGGACUGAGACACGGCCCAGACUCCUACGGGGGCAGCAGUGGGGAAUAUUGGACAAUGGACGCAAGUCUGAUCCAGCAAUGCCGCGUGAGUGAUGAAGGCCUUAGGGUUGUAAAGCUCUUUUACCAGGGAUGAUAAUGACAGUACCUGGAGAAUAAGCUCCGGCUAACUCCGUG